CCUACGGGUGGCUGCAGUGGGGAAUAUUGCACAAUGGGCGCAAGCCUGAUGCAGCCAUGCCGCGUGUGUGAAGAAGGCCUUCGGGUUGUAAAGCACUUUCAGCGGGGAGGAAGGCGUUAAGGUUAAUAACCUUGGCGAUUGACGUUACCCGCAGAAGAAGCACCGGCUAACUCCGUGCCAGCAGCCGCGGUAAUACGGAGGGUGCAAGCGUUAAUCGGAAUUACUGGGCGUAAAGCGCACGCAGGCGGUCUGUCAAGUCGGAUGUGAAAUCCCCGGGCUCAACCUGGGAACUGCAUUCGAAACUGGCAGGCUAGAGUCUUGUAGAGGGGGGUAGAAUUCCAGGUGUAGCGGUGAAACGCGUAGAGAUCUGGAGGAAUACCGGUGGCGAAGGCGGCCCCCUGGACAAAGACUGACGCUCAGGUGCGAAAGCGUGGGGAGCAAACAGGAUUAGAUACCCUUGUAGUC
rnacentral:rRNA from 1 species